CCUACGGGUGGCAGCAGUGGGGAAUAUUGCACAAUGGGGGAAACCCUGAUGCAGCGACGCCGCGUGAGUGAAGAAGUAAUUCGUUAUGUAAAGCUCUAUCAGCAGGGAAGAAAAUGACGGUACCUGAGUAAGAAGCCCCGGCUAACUACGUUCCAGCAGCCGCGGGAAUACGUAGGGGGCAAGCGUUAUCCGGAUUUACUGGGUGUAAAGGGCGCGUAGACGGCAUGGCAAGUCUGGAGUGAAAGGCGGGGGCUCAACCCCCGGACUGCUCUGGAAACUGUACGGCUGGAGUGCAGGAGAGGUAAGUGGAAUUCCUGGGGUAGCGGUGAAAUGCGUAGAUAUUAGGAGGAACACCAGUGGCGAAGGCGGCUUACUGGACUGUAACUGACGUUGAGGCUCGAAAGCGUGGGGAGCAAACAGGAUUAGAUACCCGAGUAGUC
rnacentral:rRNA from 1 species